AUCAAAAAUCGCUUACGGAAAAAUAUAAGCCCAGGGCUUAUAGUCGGAGGUUUACGGUAUUUUGUUCUUAAUGCUGAAUACGUCAGUGGCCUUGGCAAUGUUCCUCGAGCAUAUUCUGCUGGGAAGGAUUGGUCAAACUCUGCCAAUCGGUGAACUAUAGAACACAAGCUAGAACUAAGAUUAUAUGGCGAUCGAUUGUUGUAACAUAUUGUAAUAAUGAGAGAUUGUGAAUGCACAAACAGGCCGGGGUUGCAUGGUGAUAGUUAAUG